GAUGACCAAAGGAUUUUAGAUUCGGCCGAUCAGAUUCGGCAGUGAGCGAUUGCGGCCAUUAAUGCUCUCCUCGGGUGAAUUGUAGAAAACUCUGAAUGCUUUUGUACAAACAUUUAAUUUUCUUUUGUCGUUGUCGUGCGAAUUCAAACUUGGACCGUCCUCUAUCGCAGCUUUUCAUUUAAUAGUCCUUUACUCCGAUGGGACACGUUUUACCAAUCGUUACCCUUCAUCCUUUUCCUUCUAUAAGUAUGAGACCCUCGUAUCGCUUCUAAGGGCAUUCGCACCUGGCCCAGCCUCCUUUCCUCAAGUUGUCUUAGUUCCAUACUCUUAGACAAGGCUUCGAGAUGUCUUCCCCUUCCUCCGUCAAUCAGGUACGAGAUCUCCCUUCGUUCCU
rnacentral:lncRNA from 1 species